UAGGGGGGGGCAAGGCCUUAACACAUGCAGUCGAGCGGUAGAGAGAAGCUUGCUUCUCUUGAGAGCGGCGGACGGGUGAGUAAUGCCUAGGAAUCUGCCUGGUAGUGGGGGAUAACGUUCGGAAACGGACGCUAAUACCGCAUACGUCCUACGGGAGAAAGCAGGGGACCUUCGGGCCUUGCGCUAUCAGAUGAGCCUAGGUCGGAUUAGCUAGUUGGUGAGGUAAUGGCUCACCAAGGCGACGAUCCGUAACUGGUCUGAGAGGAUGAUCAGUCACACUGGAACUGAGACACGGUCCAGACUCCUACGGGAGGCAGCAGUGGGGAAUAUUGGACAAUGGGCGAAAGCCUGAUCCAGCCAUGCCGCGUGUGUGAAGAAGGUCUUCGGAUUGUAAAGCACUUUAAGUUGGGAGGAAGGGUUGUAGAUUAAUACUCUGCAAUUUUGACGUUACCGACAGAAUAAGCACCGGCUAACUCUGUGCCAGCAGCCGCGGUAAUACAGAGGGUGCAAGCGUUAAUCGGAAUUACUGGGCGUAAAGCGCGCGUAGGUGGUUUGUUAAGUUGGAUGUGAAAUCCCCGGGCUCAACCUGGGAACUGCAUUCAAACUGACUGACUAGAGUAUGGUAGAGGGUGUGGAAUUUCCUGUGUAGCGGUGAAAUGCGUAGAUAUAGGAAGGAACACCAGUGGCGAAGGCGACCACCUGGACUAAUACUGACCACUGAGUGCGAAAGCGUGGGGGAGCAAACAGGAUUAGAAUACCCUGUAGUCCACCGCCGUAAACGAUUGUCAACUAGCCGUGGAAGCUGAGCUUUAUGGCGCAGCUAACCGCAAUAAGGUGACCGCCUGGGGAGUACGCCGCAAGGUAAAACUCAAUGAAUGACGGGGCUCGACAAGCGGUGAAACAAUGUGUUAAUCGAAGCACGCGGAGAGACUUAACAGGCUUGAUCCAUGGACUUCAAGAAUAAUGUGCCUCGGGAACAUGACAGGCUCGCAUGGUCUGUCCACCUCGGUGCGGGAGAUGUGGCUAAUC
rnacentral:rRNA from 1 species